CUAAAGCACUGAGACAUUUUCGUCCUGAUUUCCUUGUCUGUUGCCUGGGUUGCCCGUCUUGGCUGGCUCUUCAGGAGCCCUGAACCUUUUUAUCUUCUACUUUUAUCCUAUAGAUAAGCUGUUUCUCAGUUUUCUCCUCCUUUCAUUUGCCCUAUUUGUCCAUCACCCCAUCUUCCUCUGAUACUUUCCUUCAGGAAUAUGUCUAGAGUCAAUUCCUUACUGAGUUUAGAAGGCUCACUUUGAGCAGAUCAGCAGUGGUGAAUCAGUAGGUGAUUCAAAAGACUCCCAAACUAUAAUUUACAUCUUAGGAAAAGCCUAAAUAGGUGGCUUUCAUUUUUCACAAAAUUUUUUCUUACCUGUUGAUAAUAAUACUAACAAUGAAUCUGCCUGUUCAAGGUGGCUGACAGAGCAUACCUGUUCAAUAUUGUCCCCCCUUCCCAAAUUCUGUGUGAAUGAAUGAAAAUAGAAAUAUUGAACAUAAUAACAUAUUUCUACUUUAACAUACACUCAUUUGAUUUUUACAACAAAUCUGAGAGUUAGGCAGUGAUGGCUACCUUUUAGCUGAGGAAGCUAAGUCUCAGAGAGAGACUAGCUUGCCCAGAGCAAACAGCCAAUCAGUGGAGGAGCUGGCACUGCAACCCAGUUGUCCAGAAUUGCCUCAUUCAGAGCUGUAGUUUGUUGAGGUUAUUUUACUGUGCAAAUCCAACCAUCCAACCAGGCAGGCUCAGUUUCUAAUUGCCUUAGAAUUGCUUAGAUGGUGAAGCAACUUUGUAUCUGAUUUAAAAUUCAAAGGUCUGCUUUAUUUGCAUUAGAUCUCAAUUUACAGCAUAGGCUGUAACUGGUCUUACCAUCCAUUCCUCCUGUUACACAGGCCCUCUCCAGAGUAUCAGAAUUUUCGUUGGUGUCUGGGUGAGGGUGAUGCCUGAGGUUCACUGAGUUGGCUCUCUUAGGUAGCUCUCUAUUGCAUUUAGUAUUAUGACAGUAUCUAUGUUUUGGUUUGGUGGAUAAAAUCGUAAUGCUAUUUGAUACAUGGUUUCUUAAAACUUUUUACCUUAUUGGUAUCUACACGAAAGCAAUGCCAAGUGUCUGGUUUCUAAAAGUGAUGAGCAGAAACAGAUGAGGCAGGUGUCUGUAGAGACUUUGUCUUGUCUCUGAGUUCAAAAAGAUUUGAGAACCAUGGUUUCAGAUCAUCCUAAAUAAAAUACAAGAUUCCAGAGCAUUUGUGUAAAGAGGAAAUUCACCCAAUCCAUGGCUUUAUUGACAUCAUUAGGCAAACGCUUAUUGACCAAAACCUGUUUAGGAGAAAACUGAGCAUAAAUCCUUAUACUGGCCAAGACAAACAACUUUUAGCUGUACACAGCAGAUGGAUAUCAGAGUGAAUUCUACAAAUAAAACCAAAUCAAGCCAAACAAACAAAACACCAGGACCUAAAUCUGAGAAUUUGAGCACUGUCAGAUAAGGUGGUAAGCUGCAAGAUAUAUCUGAUAACUAAAGGAUUUGAAUAUACUGACAUUUAAAGAUAAUAAUUUUGCUUAUUUCUUAUUUGAUUGCAUUUAUUGUAGAAUUUGGGAAUAAACUACUUGUUAUUUUACUCUAUGGACAUAUUGACUGCUAUUUUUUGGUUACAUUCUCUGUCAUCCUCUGUAUCUUGUUCACUGAUUGUGUAUAGACAGUACAUAUUUGCACACGUACCAUGUGUUCCACAUAUACACAUACACUGUGUAGUUAGUGGCUAUCACACAUGCAUACACACACAUACACACAUCAGGAUUACAUUGCACAUGCUAUAUUGUAAGCUUUUUCCCCUUAAAUACAUAAUAAAUUUACUUCCAUGGCAACAAAUAGACUUAAACAUUAAAAAGUACCUUAUUUUCAAGGCCAAUUUGUAGGCACACAGGCUACUAUAGAAGAUGAGGCCCAUAUUACAACUGAAUUUCCACCCAGCCAGCAAUAUCCAUUGCUUCUAUACAUUGGAUUUAAUUUUUUAUACAGUUUAUCCUUUACAGAUUGGCGUUCAGAGUUUAGGUAGCUGGUUGAUAGAGAAGUAUAGGCAUGCCUUGUUUAGAUAUGGGAUGAAUUUCUGAAUCUGAGAGACCAACCAAAUGAGCCAGAUGAGCAAGAGGUGGUGUCAGCAGAACAUAACCUCUCUGAAGGCGCUUUUCUGCAAUUGAGCUCAUAACUACUUUGAAUUCUUUUAAAAUCUCCUAAAUUUAGGAGAUGCCUCAGGCCAUUUUUUAGGCUAGGAUUCCCUCAAUUGUGGUCAUUUUUCCCAAGCUGCAGUGGUAAUUCCCUGGCUGCUUUUGACAGGCACCCUGUGUCCCUUGCCAUUUCUCUGAAGGCAUCUUGAGCUGUUUUAAAAGUAGUGUUUUAAUGCUCAGUGUGAUAAUCUUCCUCGCCACUUUUGAGUCAUUUUCAGCACAAUUACUUGCAAACUUUUUGUUAUCCGUCACGAGUCAAAAACCUUCACUGGAACAUGGCAUGAGGGCAGGAAGAGAUAAAGUGACCAAAGAUUCUGGUGUAACAAGGGUAGUAUUGGUAGGAGUGGUCCACUGUGGGUGCAAGCAAUGAGUGGGCACAUUGUCUGUAAAGAGCUUAAAAACAGUAAUCAGACAAAAAAUUGGUCUGCUUUGUUAUCAUUGAGCACCAGCAAUUCUAAAUGAUGUCAGUGAUAAAAAUCUUCUCUGUACCUCAGCUGACUGUUCCCAUCUGGUGCUGCUCUGGGAACACCACUGCUGAGCAAACACUUCCAGGUUCUGUCCACAGUGAAGGAAGCACAGUUGAGUUCAUUAGUACUUUCUGGCUGAGAGCAUUAAAAUACCAUACACUAGAUCUGCAUUGUCAAAUAAGGUAGCCACUAGCCACAUGUGACUGUUUACAAUGAUAUCAAUGAAAAUAAAAUAAUAUUAAAAAUUCACUUCCUCAGACACACUUUAAGAGUUCAUUAGUGCUAUGUAAGUAGUGGCUACCAUAUUAGACAGUGUAGACAUAGAAUAUUAUCUUCAUUAAUGAGAACUCUAGGAGACAGUGUUGCUUUAGACUCUACCAGCAGUCUGGCCAUAAGAAAAACAUAUAUUAAAUUCACUGCACAGAUGUACUGUAUAUAGUAAACAUUAUUGUAUGCAUUAUAUAUAUAUAUGGUCAUAAUAUUUAUGAGAAUAAAUAGUGGCAUAACAAGUCAGCAUUUUAUGGCACAGCAUUAAAUGAGAUAGUGUCUCUGCCCAUAAAAGUUUGAGAGUAGUUUAGCUCAACGUUAAUAUUAAAUGCCCACUAUGUGCCAGAUACUAGGCUUAGUAUUGGAGAUAGCAGAGUGAUUAACUGAAUGCCUGCAUAGGAGUAGUUUAGAUCUAGUAGGGGAAACACACAGGUAAACAAAUAUUACACUGCAGUGAGAUAGUUACAAUAAUUGAAAUGUGUUUAUAGUAUGUGGUCAGUACAAAGGAACGCUUAAUAAGCUACCUCUACCUUGAAGGUGGAAGUUGGUAUUUGAAGUAUGUGUGAGCAAGGGCAGUAUGGCAAUGUAAUUGGGGAAAUGAAGACCUAGGGUGAUUUACUUACAAGGACCAAUUCAGCCCAGGCUACUGUAAAAAGGAAUACACAAGGUGGUUUCUGGGCUCAAGGAAAAGGGGUGAGCUGUACUAUAAGCACUGAUGUUGUUGACCUGGAGGAUGAGUUAGGUUGUCAGGAUUAGAAAUGUCAGCUGAGAUAAUGUCAUAGAAUCAUAAUGUCAUAGAAUCACAGAAGUUAUUGUAUGAAGAUUGAAUCUUGAAUAAUAAGUAUGAAAUGAAUUGGGGAUAAUGGCCGGCUAAGUUUGGGAAGUGGGGAGGAAGUAAUAAAGGACAAAGUAUCGCAGGAAAAAACAAAGAAGCAUUUGACCCAAUGUUGAGUCCCAUCUAGAAUAACAUUUGUGCUUUUUGCCAUAAUUAAACCAGCAGAGUAACUGGAGCUCCCGAGGGGGAGUAGCUUUGUCAAACCCCUGCCUUCUAGGGACACUGGUGCCUUUAAAACACCUGUAAAUAUAAAUGGUACUUACUGUAGUGGGCCUCAAAAUUUAGUGAGCAUAAGAAUCACUGAAGGAGCUUGUUAGAAGAGAUUUUUCUGGGCAAGUCCCCACUCCACUCAAGUAGGUUUGGGAUGAGGCCAAUAAUUUGCAUUUUUAACAACCAUCCCAGGUGUUUCUUAUGAAAGUGGCCCCACUGACCACAGUUGGAGAAAUACUAGUUUAUUAGAACAAUGAAAUGGGAAAGAAAGAAGUCAGGCCACAGGAAGACUUCCUAGUCACUUCCCUUUCAAAUGAAGAAAAGAAAUAUGCAAAGUGAAUAUUAGUUUUGAUUUCCAGAGAAAUUUUCAUCUAAUGCAAAUGGUAAAUGGAUUCCAGACAUUGGCUAUCACAUGUGGAAAUGAGCUGACCCCAUUAAGAAUAGUAAGAGGGAAAUAAUUUGCUUGCACUUUAAGAUUUAUUUAAUUUGCAACAUAUGUUUAUUAACAAUAAUUUGUUUAUUUCUUUAAAUUGGAGACAAGGCUAGGGUUUGUCUAGCCACAGCUCUGGGUGAAAUUCUAAGCAGACACUUAGUGAAAAUUAGGUCUUCAUUGUAGACAGCAUGCUGCCUCUCCAUCAGUUCUCAAAGACCCUUUUUAAGUUCCUCUGAGGAAUGUUUCUCACUUGAGAUAAAGGGGAAGCUCAAUAUCCUCCUAGGUCACCAUUAUUGAUCUGCCCUAAACUUUCUUUUUUAGCAAAAUGAAGGGCUCUGCAUCAAGGGAUCUUCAUGAAGGAAGAGCUCCUCUCAGCAAGCAGGGCACAAGGUGGCUGAUGUGGUUGAUGUUCUGUAUCCUUGGGGAUAAAAGAGAGGAGAAAGGGUAAUAGGGCUUCUUGGAACAGAAGAGAGGCAAAGCCUAGGAGAAUGUGCUGGAACUGUGGAGGGUGUCAAAGAGAAGAAGAAGGUUCCUGCUGUGCCAGAAACCCUUAAGAAAAAGCAAAGGAAUUUGGCAGAGCUGAAGAUCAAGCGCCUGAGAAAGAAGUUUGCUGAAAACAUGCUUCCAAAGGCAAGGAGGAAGCUUAUCUAUGAAAAAGUGAAGCACUAUCACGGGGAAUAUAGGCUGAUGUACAGGAUUCAAAUGGUGAGGAUGGCAGGAAAAGCUGACAACUUGCAUGUACCUGCAGAACCCAAACUGGUGUUUGUCAUCAGGAUCAGAGGCAUCAACUGGGUGAGCCCAAAGGUCUGAAAGGUGUUACAACUUCUUUGCCUUCAUCAAAUCUUUAAUAGAAAUUUUGUGAAGCUCAACAAGGCUUCAGUUAACAUGCUGAGGAUUGCAGAACCAUGUAUUGCAUGGACAUACUCAAAUCUGAAGUCAGUAAAUAAUCUACAAGUGUGUUAUAACAAAAUCAAUAAGAAGCUAAUUGCUCUGACAGAUAAGACUUUAAUUGCUCGAUCUCUUGGCAAAUAUGGCAUCGUCUGCAUGGAGAAAUCUGAUUUAUGAGAUCUAUACUGUUGGAAAACGCUUCAAAGAAGCGUAUAACUUCUUGUGGCCCUUUAUAUUAUCCUCUCGACAAGGUGGAAUGAAGAAAAAGACCACCCAUUUUGUAGAAGGUGGAGAUGCUGACAACAGGGAAGACCAGAUCAACAGGCUUAUUAGAAGAAUGAACGUGCCUACCACAAUUAUUUUUUCUUAUCUAGCCAGUUAAAAAACAGUACCUGCUCUAAAAUUGCAAAAACCA